GAUGAACGCUAGCUACAGGCUUAACACAUGCAAGUCGAGGGACCGGCGCACGGGUGAGUAACACGUAUCCAACCUGCCCUUUACUCGGGGAUAGCCUUUCGAAAGAAAGAUUAAUACCCGAUAUAAAGGAUGGGGAUGCGUUCCAUUAGGUUGUUGGUGAGGUAACGGCUCACCAAGCCUUCGAUGGAUAGGGGUUCUGAGAGGAAGGUCCCCCACAUUGAAACUGGGACACGGUCAAAACUCCUACGGGAGGCAGAAGGGGGGAAAAUUGGUCAAUGGGGGGUAGCCUAAACCAGCCAGGAAGCGGGAAGGAUGAAGCUGAAUGGGUCGUAAACUUUUUUUAUAAAAGAAUAGGUAUUAUAGAAAUAGGAUCGGCUAACUCCGUGCCAGCAGCCGCGGUAAUAC
rnacentral:rRNA from 1 species